UAAAAUUAUAUGAUAACUUAACUUCCACAGAUAUAAAUUUUAUCAUUAAAAUCAAAAUCAAGAAAUGAAUCUAUAACAUGGUUUUUUAUAAAUAUUUAUUACGUCCAUUUUUUAAAAAAUAUUAAAAUUUUUACAUAAUUAUCAUAAGAACAAUGAUUACAAGUUGAUUGAAUUACUAAAAAAAAUGAGUAUAUUUUUAAUUUUUAUCCAACUUAGUAAGUUUUAUCUUUUUUACUUAAUAUGAAUUUAUAAAUAGAAAUCUAAAGUAUUUUAGAAAAUUAAAAUAAAUAAUCGCUCUUUAUUUUUUAGAAUAACCUUGUAAAAAAAUAAUGUAUAUCUUGAUCAUGCUAAAUCAAGUUUUGGAAUAAUCUAAAUGGUUUCCUGUUACUGGUCUUAACUGUUAUAUUUUUUCUAAUAUAAUGAUAUUUUAAAUAAUAAUAAUAAUAAUAAUAAUUCUUAAUUUUCAGUCCCUUAUUUAUAUCU
rnacentral:lncRNA from 1 species